AUGUCCGAAUGGGGAAACCCACUGCAGCAAUGCAGUAUCCCUAGCUGAAUACAUAGGCUAGUGGAAGCGAACCGGGUGAACUGAAACAUCUCAGUAGCUCGAGGAAAAGAAAUCAACCGAGAUUCCGAAAGUAGUGGCGAGCGAAAUCGGAAGAGCCUUUACGUUUUAGCAUGCAAGAUAAUCGAAGGGGAUGGAAAGCCCCGCCGUAGCAGGUGAUAGCCCUGUAGAUGAAAUUUUGUGUGUGGAACUAAGCGUAAGACAAGUAGGGCGGGACACGUGAAAUCCUGUCUGAAUAUGGGGGGACCAUCCUCCAAGGCUAAAUACUACUGACUGACCGAUAGUGAACCAGUACCGUGAGGGAAAGGCGAAAAGAACCCCGGAGAGGGGAGUGAAAUAGAACCUGAAACCGUAUGCGUACAAGCAGUGGGAGCCUACUUUGUUAGGUGACUGCGUACCUUUUGUAUAAUGGGUCAGCGACUUAUAUUCAGUGGCGAGCUUAACCGUAUAGGGAAGGCGUAGCGAAAGCGAGUCUUAAUAGGGCGUUUUAGUCGCUGGGUAUAGACCCGAAACCGGGCGAUCUAUCCAUGAGCAGGUUGAAGGUUAGGUAACACUGACUGGAGGACCGAACCCACUCCCUUUGAAAAGGUAGGGGAUGACUUGUGGAUCGGAGUGAAAGGCUAAUCAAGCUCGGAGAUAGCUGGUUCUCCUCGAAAGCUAUUUAGGUAGCGCCUCACGUAUCACUCCAGGGGGUAGAGCACUGUUUCGGCUAGGGGGUCAUCCCGACUUACCAAACCGAUGCAAACUCCGAAUACCUGGAAGUGUCAGCGUGGGAGACACACGGCGGGUGCUAACGUCCGUCGUGAAAAGGGAAACAACCCAGACCGUCAGCUAAGGUCCCAAAGUUAUGGUUAAGUGGUAAACGAUGUGGGAAGGCUUAGACAGCUAGGAGGUUGGCUUAGAAGCAGCCACCCUUUAAAGAAAGCGUAAUAGCUCACUAGUCGAGUCGGCCUGCGCGGAAGAUGUAACGGGGCUCAAACCAUACACCGAAGCUACGGGUGCAUCGUAAGAUGCGCGGUAGAGGAGCGUUCUGUAAGCCUGUGAAGGUGAGUUGAGAAGCUUGCUGGAGGUAUCAGAAGUGCGAAUGCUGACAUGAGUAACGACAAUGGGAGUGAAAAACUCCCACGCCGAAAGACCAAGGGUUCCUGCGCAACGUUAAUCGACGCAGGGUUAGUCGGUCCCUAAGGCGAGGCUGAAGAGCGUAGUCGAUGGGAAACAGGUUAAUAUUCCUGUACUUCUGGUUAUUGCGAUGGAGGGACGGAGAAGGCUAGGCCAGCUUGGCGUUGGUUGUCCAAGUUUAAGGUGGUAGGCCGAACACUUAGGCAAAUCCGGGUGUUCAAGGCCGAGAGCUGAUGACGAGUCGUCUUUUAGAUGAUGAAGUGGUUGAUGCCAUGCUUCCAGGAAAAGCUUCUAAGCUUCAGGUAACUAGGAACCGUACCCCAAACCGACACAGGUGGUUGGGUAGAGAAUACCAAGGCGCUUGAGAGAACUCGGGUGAAGGAACUAGGCAAAAUGGCACCGUAACUUCGGGAGAAGGUGCGCCGGUGAGGGUGAAGGACUUGCUCCGUAAGCCCAUGCCGGUCGAAGAUACCAGGCCGCUGCGACUGUUUAUUAAAAACACAGCACUCUGCAAACACGAAAGUGGACGUAUAGGGUGUGACGCCUGCCCGGUGCCGGAAGGUUAAUUGAUGGGGUUAGCUAACGCGAAGCUCUUGAUCGAAGCCCCGGUAAACGGCGGCCGUAACAAUAACGGUCCUAAGGUAGCGAAAUUCCUUGUCGGGUAAGUUCCGACCUGCACGAAUGGCGUAACGAUGGCGGCGCUGUCUCCACCCGAGACUCAGUGAAAUUGAAAUCGCUGUGAAGAUGCAGUGUAUCCGCGGCUAGACGGAAAGACCCCGUGAACCUUUACUAUAGCUUUGCACUGGACUUUGAAUUUGCUUGUGUAGGAUAGGUGGGAGGCUUUGAAGCGUGGACGCCAGUUCGCGUGGAGCCAUCCUUGAAAUACCACCCUGGCAUGCUUGAGGUUCUAACUCUGGUCCGUCAUCCGGAUCGAGGACAGUGUAUGGUGGGCAGUUUGACUGGGGCGGUCUCCUCCCAAAGAGUAACGGAGGAGUACGAAGGUUUGCUAAUGACGGUCGGAAAUCGUGCUGAUAGUGCAAUGGCAUAAGCGUGCUUGACUGCGAGACAGACAAGUCGAGCAGGUACGAAAGUAGGUCAUAGUGAUCCGGUGGUUCUGUAUGGAAGGGCCAUCGCUCAACGGAUAAAAGGUACUCCGGGGAUAACAGGCUGAUUCCGCCCAAGAGU
rnacentral:rRNA from 1 species